UUCCAUCUGGAAGAAAGUCUGGAGACAGGUGCUGCAUGGCUGUCGUCAGCUCGUGUCGUGAGAUGUUGGGUUAAGUCCCGCAACGAGCGCAACCCUUGCCUUUAGUUGCCAGCAGUUCGGCUGGGCACUCUAAAGGGACUGCCGGUGUUAAACCGGAGGAAGUGGGGAUGACGUCAAGUCCUCAUGGCCUUUAUGACCAGGGCUACACACGUACUACAAUGGCCGAUACAAAGGGCAGCGACACUGCGAGGUGAAGCCAAUCCCGUAAAAUCGGUCUCAGUCCGGAUUGGAGUCUGCAACUCGACUCCAUGAAGUUGGAAUCGCUAGUAAUCGUGGAUCAGCAUGCCACGGUGAAUACGUUCCCGGGCCUU
rnacentral:rRNA from 1 species